UACGUAGGGGGCAAGCGUUGUCCGGAUUUAUUGGGCGUAAAGAGCGUGUAGGCGGCCAGGGAGGUCCGUUGUGAAAACUCGAGGCUCAACCUCGAGACGCCGAUGGAAACCCCCUGGCUAGAGUCCGGAAGAGGAGAAUGGAAUUCCUGGUGUAGCGGUGAAAUGCGUAGAUAUCAGGAGGAACACCUGUGGCGAAAGCGGCGCACUGGACCACAACUGACGCUGAGGCGCGAAAGCUAGGGGAGCAAACAGG
rnacentral:rRNA from 1 species